GAAAUAUGAAACCCAAGAUUAAGCUUCUAACUUAAAUCUUAAGCAGUGAAAUCUGUUUAUAUUUCU
rnacentral:tRNA from 1 species